AGACCUGUCCCCUCUGAUAUGCACUUGGCUGGGACAUCCAAAACAGUGCCAGAAGCCUGGCAAUGUGCAAGCUGCCCCAAUAGGGGCCAGCGGGACUCCAGCAACCACAGUCUUCCUGGAGAGAUGACGCUUGCUUGAACUGGAGGAAUUGAUGAAUGACAUUUGGAGGAGAAGAGAGCACAGUACCCUUCUAGAACAGCAUGAACUGAACCAAAGCACAGAGCUUCCAUCUCCAACCAUUUCUCGCACCUGUCUGCCAUCUCCUGAAUGCCAGUGUGACUAAUGAGUGCCAGAGGCAGCAGAUGGGAAGGU